rnacentral:rRNA from 1 species
AAGAGACAGCAGUCGCCGCGGUAAUACGGAGGAUCCAAGCGUUAUCCGGAAUCAUUGGGUUUAAAGGGUCCGUAGGCGGUCUUGUAAGUCAGUGGUGAAAGCCCAUCGCUCAACGGUGGAACGGCCAUUGAUACUGCAGGACUUGAAUUAUUGGGAAGUAACUAGAAUAUGUAGUGUAGCGGUGAAAUGCUUAGAGAUUACAUGGAAUACCAAUUGCGAAGGCAGGUUACUACCAAUUGAUUGACGCUGAUGGACGAAAGCGUGGGUAGCGAACAGGAUUAGAGACCCGCGUAGUCCCUGUCUCUUAUAC